rnacentral:misc_RNA from 1 species
GAUGAAGAACUUAGCAAAAUGCGAUACUUGGUGUGAAUUGCAGAAUCCCGUGAACCAUCGAGUUUGUGAACGCAAGUUGCGCCCGAAGCCUUUUGGCCGAGGGCACGUCUGCCUGGGCGUCACGCAUCGCGUCGCCCCCAACAAAUUCUCCGUCAGGGGAGCUUGUGUUUCGGGGGCGGAUACUGGUCUCCCGUGCUCAUGGCGCGGUUGGCCGAAAUAGGAGUCCCUUCGAUGGACGCACGAACUAGUGGUGGUCGUAAAAACCCUCGUCUUUUGUUUCGUGCCGUUAGUCGCGAGGGAAGCUCUUCAAAAACCCCAGCGCGUCGUCUCUUGACGGCGCUUCGACCGCGACCCCAGGUCAGGCGGGACUACCCGCUGAGUUUAAGCAUAUCAAUAAGCGGAGGA